UCCGAACUGGUGUAUCGGUAACAUAUCCGCCUCUCAAGGCUAACUUGAUGGUCUCAGUCCGCGGUUGCGCGGGGUUCGACUCCCCGGUUCGGAA